rnacentral:misc_RNA from 1 species
UCGUGGCGACCAUGCCUGAACGGCAAAUUCUCUGAUCGCGCAAAGAUGGAUUCGGGGCAGCGAAUCUUACUUCACGGUCUUACGGCGUUGUAGACGCCGGGGGACCGGCGGGUGCGUCAAAAUUUGAUCCUGCGUUAGUCGAGUGAUAGCGUGUCGAUGCACAGCGCACAAGAACUGCGGUCGCUGCGCGCCGCCAUUUGCCAGAUAAAGGCCAGCUUGCCCGCGCAAGAAUAAUUGACGAUCGCAGGAAUCGAUCGGCGAUGCGACCCAGUGAAA